rnacentral:rRNA from 1 species
UCCAGACUCCUACGGGAGGCAGCAGUGGGGAAUAUUGCACAAUGGGGGAAACCCUGAUGCAGCGACGCCGCGUGAGUGAAGAAGUAUUUCGGUAUGUAAAGCUCUAUCAGCAGGGAAGAAAAUGACGGUACCUGAUUAAGAAGCCCCGGCUAACUACGUGCCAGCAGCCGCGGUAAUACGUAGGGGGCAAGCGUUAUCCGGAUUUACUGGGUGUAAAGGGAGCGUAGACGGUGAUGCAAGUCAGAAGUGAAAGCCCGGGGCUCAACUCCGGGACUGCAUUGGAAACUGGCAUGCUGGAGUGCCGGAGGGGCAAGCGGAAUUCCUAGUGUAGCGGUGAAAUGCGUAGAUAUUAGGAGGAACACCGGUGGCGAAGGCGGCUUGCUGGACGGUAACUGACGUUGAGGCUCGAAAGCGUGGGGAGCAAACAGGAUUAGAUACCCUUGUA